rnacentral:lncRNA from 1 species
GUUUUUCCAGAAUUUCCAAAUCUAGGCUUUGAAUAUUAAGUCAUAUACAGAGGACUAAAGCACGACCUCCACAACAGAGGUUGCUGUUGUGGAGGUUGCUCAAGCAGUCCUCCCACCUUAGCCUCUCAAGUAGCUGGGACUUACAGGUGCCUGUUGCCACAACUGGCUAAGUUUUGUAUUUUUUGUAAAGGUGGGGUUUCACCACGAUGCCCAGGCUGCUCUCAAAUUCCUUGGUUCAAAUGAUUCUCCUUCCUAGGCCUCCCCAAAUGCAUGAAGAUUUAAUAUAACUACAGAGUAGGGAAGGAUAUGGCUAUGACAUAAGUGAGAGCAAUUCCAGUCCUUUCUAUGUCUGAGGGGAGGAAUCGAGUCAUGGGGAGAGGAGAAUGAGAACAAGUCGAGUCUAGGGGGAGAGGAGAAUGAGAACAAGGACAGAGAGAGCACGUGAGCACAGUGAAGCAUGAAGACAAGAAAGAAAGCUGACCAAUUUGGGGAAUCUAGUCCAUGCUCCGCUGCUCUCUUACAAAGGUGAAGAGGGACUUACUGAUGACAGUCACAGUGGUAGAAGAACCCCAAUAGCUUUGGAAUAACCCCAAAGCCAGAGGAUUUUCUCCUCCUUUCCUAUGGCGUGGCCCCUUCAGGAACGUUUGCAUUCAGCAUCAUUCUAGAGCAACAUGGCAACCUGGAAAUACAGCAGUGGAUGAAAUCAUAAUUGCCCAUGUUAAAGAAGAGGUUUAAGUAUAUGGGCCUGAGAUACUAUUCUUGGUUUCCAGGGCCUAUAUUUGGAGUGCAAGGGUUCUGGAAGUUUCUGUAUGUCCUGGAAGUAAUGUGGAUGUGGUAAGAGAACUGGAAAAGAGCAGAGAUCAGGAAGCAGAGGCUGAAGAGUGAGAAGAACACCAGCACUAGAGGCCACCACUGGGAGGUCAGCAGGGGAGAAGUACAGAACCUGAGAGAACAGAUGAAUUCAGCAGUGCUUCAUGGUAUGAACACAGGCUCAGCAUGUUUGUGACCAACUGGGUCCAUCCAGACCACAGCAGGGGCCACCAGGACAGGGGAGGGUGGCAGACCAGGUGCUACUUCAUGCAACAGGUCACUGAGCCUGCUUGAGACAUUAUAUCUGAGAAGACAAGUAGAAAGAAGAAAAAGGUGAAGACUGUGUAUGUAUUUAAUAGGCACUUAUUUAACCAGGGAGAUGAGUGUAGAAUUUAAUUGGAGAAACUAAUGAAUGUAAAAUGGCAAGCAAAAGAGGCAGAAGGCCCUGUGAGGUGGUCCUAAUGAGUCAGUCCAGUUGAGUUAUAGAGAAAUAAAUUUACCAUUUUCUGAAUCAGAAUCAGAGUGGGUCCACUUUGACCUCUCCACUCUGGAUUGCCUCUAAUCAACUCUGUAUUUCAUGGUAUGGUACCCAGAUUUUUGUUGUUAACAAUAGGGACUCUCUGGAAGUUUUCUAUUUUAACUAUUUUUUUUUAUUGAGGUGUAAUUUAACUUAGAUGUUAAAUUUCAGAAUUAAUAAAACUUCAUUCACUAACAUCUGUAUGCCUUAUAAACGUGGAUGCUUGGGGCAAAGCCCCACUUGCUCCAUCAUAAUUACAUGGGCAGAAAUACGGAACAUAAGACGAGUAAAAAGGCUGGGAAGGCAACAAGAUAAAUUUUUUAAAAAUAAAAUUUUUAUUUUAGAAUAGUUUUCGAGUUACAGAAAAAUUCUAAUGGUAGCACAGAAAGCUUUCUUAUACCCUACACCCAGUUCCUUUGUUAUUAAAGUCUUAUAUUAGUGUGGUGCAUUUCUUACAAUUAAUGAACCAGUAUUAAUACAUUGUAAUUAGCUGAAGUUCAUACUUUACUCAUAUUGUCUUAAUUUUUAUUUAGCAUCCCUCUUUUUCUGUUCCGGAAUCCCACCUAGGAUAGUGGGUUUUGUUUAAUUGCCACGUCGCCUUAGUUUCCUCUCAGCUGUGACAGUUUCUCAGACUUUCCUUGUUUUUGAUGACCUUGUUAGUGUUGAGGAGUACUGGUCAGGUAUUUUGUAGAAAGUCCUUUGAUUGGAAUUUGUCUCAUAUUUUUCUCAUGAUUAGUCUAGGUAUGGGUUUCCGGAGAUCACAGGGCAGUAAGGGUACCAUGUUCAUGACAGGAUAGUAAGGGUAUAUGUGUCAAUAUGACUUAUCAUGACUUAUCACUGUUGGUGUUGAUCUUGGUCACCAGGCUGUGGCCGGGUUUGUCAGGUUUCUCCACAUAAACUUACACUCCCCCCAACUUUAUUCUGCUGUGCUCUUUGUAAGGAAGUCUCUAUGUACAGAUCACACCUAAGAAAUGGGGAAUUAUGCUCCACUUCCUUGAGGGUGACGUUUGGACCUAAAAUGAGUUCACUUUUGACACACAAAGUUUGAGAAGCCUUGGAAAUACAUAGUGGAAGCUCUCCGUGGGUGUUUAAUAUGCAAAAUUAUUGUUCCUAGAGAAAUCAGGACAGAGAAGGAGAGAGAGAGAGUAGGAAAUAAGAGCAUCUGAGAAAGAUAAUAUUCAGCAGUACCUAGAAGAGGCACCUGAAGGAGAGAGAUGAAGGGAGAAAUCUGUGGGGAAAAUGGAACAACCGGUAAUGAAGUGUCCAGGAAGCCAAGGGAAAACACACUGAAAAAGGGGAGGACAGUUAGUUAUAUAAAAUGCUGUAAUAAAUUUAUGCAUUUGGUAACUAAUAAAAGUUAAUCAUUGUCUUUUAUUAUUUAUUAGUUGUGUGCCCCUAUCUAUUAAUAAAAACGGGAGCAUACUCUUGAGCUUAUGCCCUUAUCAACUCUUAGCCAUUCCCAAGGUUGGCUUGCCCAUCCCCCCCACUAAACUCUGGUCAUGUUCUAUCCUGGCUUUGCAAUGAAUUAUUUCUUAUUGUCAUUACAAAUCAGAAUUUUCCAGUAUCCAAUGGAAUAAAGGCAUUCCUGCUAUAGAAAAAUGACAGCAUGUUUUUGUAAUCUUGAGUGACCUUUAUUGAAGUUAAGAGGUACUUGAGAAAAACAAUAGAAUAAGGAAAAUGCAGAGGUAUAACCAGCAUCAUACAUUUUGAGAGUGAUCCUUGGGAACUCUGCAUACAUACCACAUACACCAACAAAAAGAAAAACAAGUCCAGUGGAAAAGGCAAUGGAAAGGAGUGUGGAGAACUGUACUCUAGCUCUACCUGUAUUUGUCUUCAUGCUGCACAGUCUGUGGAGACUCUUCUCUUCUUUGGAUUUGCUGCCUCACCAAUAAAGUGAGCAGACUGGGCUACCCAGCCUCUAUAGUUCUGUUCAUUACAGCACAUGAUCUGAGGUGUAUUUUUUUUUUUUUUUUGAGACAGAGUCUCGCUCUGUCACCAGGCUGGAGUGCAGUGGCGCGAUCUUGGCUCACUGCAACCUCCGCCUCCCAGGUUCAAGCGAUUCUCCUGCCUCAGCCUCCCAAGUAGCUGGGACUACUGGCUCCCACCACCGCACCCAGCUAAUUUUGUAUUUUUAAUACAGAUGGGGUUUCAUCAUGUUGGCCAGGAUAAUCUUGAUCUCUUGAGAUCUUAAAUGUAUUUGAUUCGGUAUUGGUUAAACCUGAGAUGUAAAUGUUCUAUUCAAUAUAUCAUUAAGAAUUUUCCUCUUGAACUAAAUACUUCUUCCUUAUUUUCCUUUUCUUUGAUUUUUAUUUACUAUCACCCCAGUAACAUUGAACUAACUACCUUUUAGCAAAAGGAGAAAAGCACAUUUAUACUUGUGUAAAGUUUAUUUCUUUAUCUAGUCAAUAUUAUACUGACAGCCUCAAGUCUUUGGAAAACGUUUCAGAGAGUCACAUUAGAAUUUGACUCUUUUAAGGCACAGUAGAAGCUAUGAAUUCUAAGCCAAAUAUUUGUGAUCCCACGUAAAACCAGAACCAAAAGGAAAUUAAAUGUUUUAGGGCCUUGUUUUCUAAGCCCUGCUCUUGGAUUGAUACUUGGUAGCUGAAGGGAAGGACAAUCCUGGAAAUUAAAACUGUCAUUGAGAAGAAUAAUUUGGGGCUUUAACAUAUAAAUUUGUAUAAGAAGCAUUCUGUAGAAUUCUGAUAAAGGUAAUGUGUGUAAUCACCCAGUGCUGUCUUGGCUUAUGGUAAUCACUCAGUAUUCUCAGCAUUUUAUAAAAUAAGGUUUAGCUUUCAUUGGGCCCUUAUUAACUAAAUUAGCUGUGAUCAGCCAAAGUAUUUUUCUUUUUCUUUCAGUGGAAUAUUAAGGCACCAGUGAUUUUUUUUUCAACCUGUGGGUUUUCAGGAGAGUUAUGUGCAAAGCUUUUGUCAUUUUGAGUCAUUUUUAAAAUUUACUAGUGAAGAUAAUAUUUAUAGGGAACAUGUGCUUUGAAAUUUAGCUUUGUUUUACAGAAAUUGUGCUGUGGAGAAAGAUUCCUUCCAAAUUGAUUUCAACAAUCCCAAUUCUGUGAAAACUACCUUGCCUAUUCUGGAUGGAAACUUGAUUUCCAUCCAGUUUAUAGUGUGUUAGAAAGAAACAAGUCCAGACGGAUGCUUAUGACACGCUGUACUUACUUGUUUUCAGGUCUCUAUCCCAUAGGCUGGAACCCGUACCCCCUGGGAAAAGAUAUUGUGUCUUUGCCUGGCACCUUACUUAUAAGGUGCUCGAUAUAUAUUAAAAUAACAAACUUCAGGUUCCAAAUAUAACGAUAAAACCAAUUCUAAAAUCCACAUUGUAAGGGGACACUGGGUGGGAGUGGUGGAUAGUGUUUGCGGUUAAACAUUCUCCAUAUCUCCUUCACCACCACCACCACCACCCUGAGUAAAAUCUAUGUACAGGUAAACAAAGCUUCAGGGGAAGUCUGUUUGGCCCUCCUUCCUCCCAGAUGGUCUUAGACUCCUCCUACAUAGCAAUUUUGGAGCUGACACUGCAGAGUUUUGUUUGGGGGCUUCAUGUUUCUAGCAAGUAUUCCAUUUAUGUUGACAUUUUAUUCAUAAGCUCUGAGACUACCUAUUCCUAGAGCCUACAUUUAUUCUAUCUUUCAAAAACAAAUACGCUAGCAUUCCUGCAUACUUACUGUUUUAUCCGCCUUAGAAGUGAGCCCCUUACACACUAGAAACAGCAAUUUUAUAGUUCCAUGUUAUGCCAGCCCUUUUCAUUCUGUAAGCUAAUAUGAUGUAAUAUGAUGCUUUUUUUUUUUUUUUGCAUACUGAAAGCUCAAUAACUAGUUUGAGAUAGACCUACAUGCACACACAGCCUAAUGGAAUUCUAACCUCAUUGUUUUGUAGAUAACAAAUUCUUCAAAUUGCUCGGGGUUAUUUAGUGGCCAGUGAAAACUGUGAUCUAUACUGAUUAUCUGAAGAAACUUUCGUGUGUAGAUAUCAAUAAAAUGUGUGUCAAGAAUGGAAUUCAGACUAUACUUUUCACUUUGUCUCAGCAACACACAAUUCUACCAAAAUGAGUAAGUGAAUAUAUGAAUGAAUGCUUAAAACCUUAUAAAGUAUAAUUAUAUUAUACAGAGCAUCCAGUGUAUGCAGUAACCAAGCUAGGCAUUUUUUUCUUUUUUUUUUUUUUUUUGCCUUGGCCUCCCGAGUAGCCAGGACUACAGGUGUGCACCACCAUGCCCAGCUAAUUUUUGUGUUUUUAGUAGAGACUGGGUUUCACCAUGUUGGCCAGGCUGGUCUGGAACUCUUGACCUCAAGUGAUACACCCGCCUCAGCCUCCCAAAGUGCUGAGAUUACAGGUGCGAGCCACCACACCCCACUCCAAGCUAAGCAUUUUAUACUCACUAUUUCUGAUCCUUUAAAUAACUCUUUAUUGUUUUUCCCAUUUGUAGGUGAAGAGGCUCAGAGAAGUUAUAUACUUUCCUUCAACUAGUAAAUGGCAGACCUAGGUUUGGAAUACAUUAACUACAAAAUCCUCAUUCUUUUCAUUACGUAACUAGUUUCCUAAGAUGAAGGUUGUCGCUGGUUCCCUUGAAAGAAAACCUUACGGCAGAUAUCUAACAAUUUUCCCAAAGGAUUAUUUUAAUAGUGACUUGUCAAUAUCACAUUAACUCCAUAAAUUAUCAUUAUGACUGUUUGGAUGCUGUUCAAGGCGACAGGUUCUUUUCUGUCCUAUGUUAAUGUAUUCCUUAGUGAUAAUGUCUGUAGACUGUAGACAAACUCCUGUGCCCCUGUGCUUCCCAUCUGAUAAACAGUAGUGUGGCAAAAAGCCUUCAAAUACACACAGUGCACCUUGUCAUUGAGAUUUUUAAGAACACUUGAAGGUAACAAAUGUAAAAAUAAGAUAGAGAAUAUAACAUUAGCAUGAAUUAUAAGAUACAUCUCAUGAUUUCAGAGACAUGGCCUGUGUUUCUCCUUUAUUCCAGAAAACUUGGCAGGUAUCCAUUCAUUCUCUUUUGACUUCUUGAAAGGAACAUGUUUGGAGCAUUUGCCUUCCCUAUUUUCAAAAAAAGUAACUCUCUGUUUUUUACAAAUUAUACUUCCACUUUAGACAUUCUUUCAUAGUUUAACUUCCUUUUCUUAAAAUGCUACAGUUCUGGAGACUUUGAACAAGGAGGAAGCAGACUUUAGGUGUAGCUUUUCCACUAGUGAUUAUUGCAGUGCUUUUUCUUCUCAUUAAGGAAAUUCAGAAGAUGUAAUACUCUUUCCCCCACUCAUUGAUUAAGACACUUUGCACCAUUUAUUGAUCUAUCACCAACUUUAAUGUCCAGAGAUGGAAAAGGCUUAUAAGGCCACCUGCAUCAGUCAUCGUAAGUAUAGGCUGAAAUGCUUCCAUUUAUAUUUUACUCCACACUAGACAUUGUGAAAGUGCUUCACAAGUAUUCGGUUUUUAUUCAAGUAAACUUAUUUCUCCCAUUUUGUGGAUAAGGACAAGGAAGUUUUGUGGGUUCCAAGUAACUUGUCAGUGACAACAUGGUUAGCAAGUUGUAGAGCCCGAUUUUAUAAUGGUGAUGGAAUAUCAGGGACUGUAUUUUUAUUAUUUGUUUAUUUUUUCCCACAGGGAAUCAUUAUUAACAUUUGUGAAACCUCUAAAAUACAUAAUUAGAGGUUGGUUUAUGCACAUAAGCAUGCAAUUACUGGUUAUACUUAACACUGGGAGAGAGAGAGAAGACAUACUUUUAACAACCGGGUUUCACAGAAAGUAUCGAAAUGCUACUGCUGUCCCUGGAAAUUAAAGAAAUAGCCUCUUAGCAGAUCAGAAUUCAAUGUUAAGCAGUAGAAAAGAGGUUGGACAAGCCCUGUGUACUUCUCCUCUAACAUCUAAAUGAUUCCAUUUUUAGAUAAGUUGGACACAUGCCAACUUGUCAAUGCAAUAAAAAAGCAUUAUUUUCUUCAAUGGCGAUGCAAUUUUUCUAUCAUAAACCAUGAUGUUCUUAAGAAUAGGGCCUGAUUACUAAUUACUCGCUGAAAGAACAGCUCAACCUCAUAACAUUAACUUCUAUAAAUACACACACACACACACAAAAAAAAAUUUGGUAGACAUUUUCUAAUGUUUGAAUGUACAAUUCCAAGUCACUCUUCAGAUAAAUCAAUUGAUUCUGCUAGUUUGGUAAAUUUUGCAGAUAACUCCAGGCAGGUCCAUCAAACUAGAGUGCAGUUUAAACCAGACAUUCUAAAGAAUUCAUAUUGAACAUCUCUCAGAUUACUAGUACUACCCAGUAUUGAACUCUCUGGGCUAAAAUAUUUGCCAUAAUGUUUUAUGAUAUAUGUCACAAAUCUUUUUCUGUAAAGGACCAGGCAGGAACUAUGUUAGUUAGGCUAACCUGCCCUUCCUCCCUAGGUCUGAGGAGUGGACAAUGAUGUCAUCAAGGAAUCUCUCUGAGUAGUGAGAUUAUGGGUGAUCCUUACUGUUUAUUAUAUAACUUUUUCUACCCUUUCUUAAC